rnacentral:lncRNA from 1 species
AACUUUUAUAUGUCUUUAGCUUCCAAGAAGACAACAGCUGCCGAUAUGUUGAAGUCUUACAAAGGCUACCUUAGUGCUUGUCCUUUUAAGAAGCUACCGAUUUUCUUUGCAAACAAAAUGAUUUACUACAUGACUGAGAAAGCAAGUGCCCUUCAUAUCGUAGAUUUCGGUAUCCUGUAUGGUUUCCAAUGGCCGGUUCUUAUCCAGCAUCUCUCAAAUAGACCUGGUGGGCCUCCUAAGCUACGCAUAACAGGAAUAGAGCUUCCCCAAAGUGGUUUUCGCCCAACGGAAAGGAUUGAGGCAACAGGUCGUCGCCUGGCAAAUUAUUGCGAGCGAUUUAAUGUUCCGUUUGAGUACAAGGCUAUAGCAGCUCAAAACUGGGAAAAUAUUCGAAUUGAGGAUAUCAAGAUUAAUAGCAAUGAGGUGCUUGCUGUAAAUUCUCUUUUUCGGUUUGAGAAUCUGCUUGAUGAGACUGCCGAAGUGGAUUGUCCGAGGAAUGCUGUGCUUAAAUUGAUCAGGAGAAUGAACCCUGAUAUUUUUGUUCACUCUAUAAUUAAUGGAUCAUACAACUCUCCCUUCUUUGUUACAAGGUUCAGGGAGGCUUUAUUUCAUCUUUCAUCAGUAUUCGAUAUGUUUGAUAAUACAUCACCUCGUGAUGAGCCUGGAAGAUUGAUGUUUGAGAGCGAGCUUUAUGGGCAGGAAGCAGUGAAUGUUGUAGCAUGUGAGGGUCCAGCAAGGGUUCAGAGGCCAGAAACAUACAAGCAAUGGCAGAUUCGGAUGACAAGAGCAGGGUUCAAGCCACUUCCAUUGAACCAGGAACUAAUGACCAAACUUCGGCAUAAGUUGAAGGCUUGGUACCACAAAGAUUUUGUAAUUGAUGAAAACAAU